ensembl:lncRNA
GCUAAAUACCAAAUGGGGAGAUGGGAGACUUACAGCUCAUCAAGGAUCAAAAAUACAAACCUUUUAUUUUAGCGCCUGGCUACAGACGGGCGUUGAUGCACGCGAGCCGUCUGGAUGAAUAACGUGUGUAAUUUGGAACGCCAGCGGUGUGGUCAACAUAGCCAGGGAGGUAAUUCAGUAAAUAUAUCGUGGCCAGUACAGUACAGCCUGCACACUUGAAUUAUCCAAUAACAUACCUUUAAAAUCAGUCAACCUAGCCCCUGCAUCACAUACGGCUGGUCCCAGAUGUGUCUGUGUUGUCUUGUCAGGCUAUCGGCCGUAGGAGUUGAUAAGCACAAACAGAUCUGGGACCAGGCUAGCGCAUCAUACUUCUCCCUCUUCAUAGAAACCCCCGUGGGUGAACAUUUAAAGAGGAGAUGAGACAAAUCUUUAUUUAUUCAAUUCAAUGUAUUUAUUGAUCACACUCAGUGUUCCCAUGACAGCUCUACCAGACCGACUCCACCUGUCGACACACUGGAGUUUAUAAAGCAGACGGAAGAAGACAGAAUGUUCCUAAAGGUUGUGGCCCGGCGCACACACAAGUCCAUCCCAAAAUAAAAUUAAAUGGAAAAUCAAAUUGAAAACUCGAGUCAUGUUUAAACACCUGUCCCCCCACCUUUAGGAACUAGAUAGAAGGGGGGAAGGAGGCAGAGACACACCUGUUAAAAUACCAACCCUGGGGGUCCCGGUCAGUCAGUCUGCCCCCCUCCCAGGGUAUGUUACAGUCAGGGGUAGUCAAGAGUUCCUCUUUAUUCACAGCCCCCCCCAAAUACAAUCCAAGUGAGAUUUUACAGUUGUUUCCUGGAUUUCUGUUUUCCAAAAUUUAUAAAAUCCUUAGAGAUGUUCGUUCCAGUUAAGUUGUGUUUGCCACUACUGGUCAGAUGACAUCACAACGCAAGGGUCAGGGGUGAACGGGGAAGGACGUGCCACGUCACAACGCAGGGGUCAGGGGGGUGAACGGGGAAGGACGUGCCACGUCACAACGCAGGGGUCAGGGGUGAACGGGGAAGGACGUGCCACGGCACAACGCAGGGGUCAGGGUGAACGGGGAAGGAUGUGCCACGUUGGCCCUGACACGGCAGUACUGAGUGGGGAGGGUAGC